AGUGAACGCUGGCGGUAGGCCUAACACAUGCAAGUCGAACGGCAGCACAGGAGAGCUUGCUCUCUGGGUGGCGAGUGGCGGACGGGUGAGGAAUACAUCGGAAUCUACUCUGUCGUGGGGGAUAACGUAGGGAAACUUACGCUAAUACCGCAUACGACUUACGGGUGAAAGCAGGGGACCUUCGGGCCUUGCGCGAUUGUAUGAGCAGAUGACGGAUUAGCUAGUUGGCGGGGUAAAGGCCCACCAAGGCGACGAUCCGUAGCUGGUCUGAGAGGAUGAUCAGCCACACUGGAACUGAGACACGGUCCAGACUCCUACGGGAGGCAGCAGUGGGGAAUAUUGGACAAUGGGCGCAAGCCUGAUCCAGCCAUACCGCGUGGGUGAAGAAGGCCCUCGGGUUGUAAAGCCCUUUUGUUGGGAAAGAAAUCCAGCUGGCUAAUACCCGGUUGGGAUGACGGUACCCAAAGAAUAAGCACCGGCUAACUUCGUGCCAGCCGCCGCCGUAA
rnacentral:rRNA from 1 species